AUUGAACGCUGGCGGCAGGCUUAACACAUGCAAGUCGAGCGGGGAAAGGUAGCUUGCUACCUGACCUAGCGGCGGACGGGUGAGUAGUGCUUAGGAAUCUGCCUAUUAGUGGGGGACAACAUUCCGAAAGGAAUGCUAAUACCGCAUACGUCCUACGGGAGAAAGCAGGGGAUCUUCGGACCUUGCGCUAAUAGAUGAGCCUAAGUCGGAUUAGCUAGUUGGUGGGGUAAAGGCCUACCAAGGCGACGAUCUGUAGCGGGUCUGAGAGGAUGAUCCGCCACACUGGGACUGAGACACGGCCCAGACUCCUACGGGAGGCAGCAGUGGGGAAUAUUGGACAAUGGGGGGAACCCUGAUCCAGCCAUGCCGCGUGUGUGAAGAAGGCCUUAUGGUUGUAAAGCACUUUAAGCGAGGAGGAGGCUACUGAGACUAAUACUCUUAGAUAGUGGACGUUACUCGCAGAAUAAGCACCGGCUAACUCUGUGCCAGCCGCCGCCGUAAAAC
rnacentral:rRNA from 1 species